CAAGAUAUCUAUAAUGACCUAAGAGCAUACAUUAAGGAAUGAACAAGAUGGAUCUAUAAUUGGAUGCAUGCAAGUGACGUCAUCGUGCAUAGCAGUAAAUGAAGGAUCUUAUCUCUGAAAUAAAACCAUUUACGGUGAAGAAGAAGGAAUUUUAUGAGGUGAUAUUUGAGACCCAAGAAAAAUCUACUUUCGUAAGACUUGGCGAACUGGAAUUGAUUUACGGCAUCUUGGCAAUGAGAUGCACUGAGAUAUAUCUUCCCUGUUCAGUGUCUGAAAUACGAAUGGUAGUCACGCAAGACCAAUUACUGCUGAAUUACGCUCAGCCAAGAAACUGUUCAAUCGUAAAAACUUCUUCUGAAAAAAAAACUUGAGAAAGCUAAACUCUACUUUUGAGAAGAUUUAGGAAACUGUAAACAACCUUUAAAGUGAAGCUCGAUAAAAAUGAUUAUGUUCUUAAUGUACUCCAGGGAGGAAAAAAACCCACUUAUGGCACAUUUGUAUUUUUUCCUUACCAUUUGCUCAUUAGAAAGGCAUUUGCUAAAAGGUUUGGACCAUUAAUGCUUGUAGAAAAGCACAUGAGACACCAAAAAGAAACAAAGAUUGAAGAUAUGAUAAUGUAAAAUGAAAAAUACGCUUUAAAGGUAUUUACUUUCUUGCG
rnacentral:lncRNA from 1 species